GAGCGUAUAGCUCAGUGGUAGAGUGUGUGCUUAGCAUGCACAAGAUUCUGAGUUCAAUCCCCAGUACUUCCA
rnacentral:tRNA from 1 species